rnacentral:lncRNA from 1 species
UGCCUCUGCUUUCCAGACCUGUGGCUCAGGCAGGAGACAUGGAUGAAAUGGAAGGGGCCAGGUAUGGCAGGAGGCCUGGCCAGGGGCACCCAGGAAGUUAAGAGCUCUCCUCUGGGGAAGACCUAGGGGUUGACUCCAUGGGAAACUGGACAAGAUCGCCAUCCCUCUGAAAGCUUGGCAAAGAAGGGAAUCCUGGAGACGCAGAGGGCUCUCACAGCAGAGAAGGGAUCCCCAGGUGGAGCCAGGGUGCCAACGGCUCCAGGCGCAAGUCGGGGAGAAACCCUAAGGACCACCCCCACCCCCAGGGAGUCGCCACCAAGAAAAGGGACACGGAGAAGAGAAGGACAGGAGGAUCCUGCCCUGAUCGCCAGAGAGGACCGCUUGCCGCAGAUGCGGCCAGGACAGGCGGGAGGCCGGGCCCGCCUCCCUAAAGCGCCGUCGGCAGAGCCACUGGCGGGGCCCUGGCGGGGCUCCAGUCCCGGCUCUUCAACCACGUGGGCACGCUGGACCUGGCCCUGGGCGAGCUGCGGGCUCCGGGGGAGCGCCUUCCUGCCACUGCCCGCCCGCGGCCCGCAGCCCGCGGCCUCGCAGCGCGCCUGGCUCGCCUGGCAGCUGGCGCAGGCGGGGGCGACCCUGCACCAGGCAGGCCCGGCGCUCGACAGUCUGCUCGCAGCCCUCCCUGCUGGAGCCUCCGCGGCCAUAGGGGCCGCGCCCCCAGCCUGAGCUCUCGUCCUGGCCCUUCCCGGGGCCACUCACGUCUGUCCCGGAGCCCGUCCAGACUCUGCCCUCUUGACUCCCCGAGCAAGAGUCCGUGGCAGCAGUUCGCACACCCAGGCGACGAGCUCCCUCCCACCGCGCGACACUAUCCACCUGUCCGGGAAACGGUCUUGGGCAUGGACCGGACCUCCCUUCCUACAGGAUCUCUCUUCAGGCAAAGGGCUCCUCCUUUCCAGAAGACAGCCCCGUGAAGAUGAGCGCUCAGAGCAAAUCCCUUCUUUUUCUCCAGGGGCUCUGAUGACCAACACUCUCACCGAUUUGGACUUUUUCACCAUUGCUUGUUUCCCUGC